AUGGCGUCCAGGGCGCUGUUGCUCGCCGUGGCCGGGGUGGUGGUGGCGGGGUGCGCGGUGGGGCUCUCCGGCGCGACGGACCACAUCGUGGGGGCCAACCGCGGGUGGAACCCCAACAUCAACUACUCCAGCUGGUCCGCCAACCAGACCUUCUACGUCGGCGACCUCAUCUCGUUCCGGUACCAGAAGGGGACGCACAACGUGUUCGCGGUGAACGAGACCGGCUACGACAACUGCACCAUGGACGGGGUCACCGGCAACUGGACCUCCGGCAAGGACUUCAUCCCGCUCCCGCACCCCGGCACCUACUUCUUCAUCUGCGGCAACGGCUUCUGCCAGGCCGGCAUGAAGGUCGCCAUCACCGUCCGCAUCUUCGAUCUCGGCCCAGAGAUCUACCCCCCGCCCGCCCCCGGCGCCGACAAUCCCCCCUCCUCCUCCUCCUCCUCCUCCUCCUUCGCCGCAGGGGCGUGGCCGGCAGCGGCAGCGGCGGCCACCGCGCUGGGAGCUGCUGCCAUCAUUGCCCUUUAG
rnacentral:rRNA from 1 species